rnacentral:lncRNA from 1 species
CACAACACCACUUCUCCCGGCUAAUUUCUUUCCUCAUUUUCCAGCCAGUUAUUUCACAACCUCGGCUUUCCGCUCAAGUCUCCCUCCCGACGCUUCCUCCCGUUUGCUCUCCCUCUCGGUUGAUGGAUUUCUUUCCGAGUUCGUCGUGAAUAUUGACGCAAUCAGCAGAGAAAUUGCACGGACUCCUCCAGCCCCCACCCAUCCAUCCUUCUCUAAAUCCACACUCUGGCUUCCUGCUUGCAAUUAGGGAUGAAUCAUCUAUGCUCCAUCAAAACCCAGCCCUCUGCUCCUUCAUUCGCUCCCAUCCCCUCUCAUUACUCAAGGACAUGGCUCAGAAACCCUCCCUCUCCAGGCUCUGCAGGAUCUCACAUAGCACAGGCUGACCUAUAUAGCUGAGGAUAACUU